rnacentral:rRNA from 1 species
AAAUUUAGCCCUAAAUUAUUUUAUAAAUUUCUCCUCCUCAAAUUUAUUAAAUAAAACAUUUUGACUCCUUAAGUAAAGGCGAUUGAAAAAGCUCUAAGCGCUAUAGAAAUAGUACCGCAGGGGAAAAAUGAAAGAAUAAUGAAACAAUUAAAGCUACUUACAGCAGAGAAUUUACCUCGUACCUUUUGCAUCAUGGCCUAGCAAGACUUAAUAAGCAAAAUGAAAUUUAAGUUUUAAACCCCGAACCUAGGCGAGCUACUUUAAAACAGCCUAUUGGGCCAACCCGUCUCUGUAGCAAUAGAGUGGGGUGAUUUUUGAGUAGAAGUGAAAAGCCUACCGAGCCUAGAAAUAGCUGGUUAUUCAUGAAAAGAAUAUAAGUUCUGCCUUAAGCACCCCCCCCCCCCCAGAAACCCCAAAAACUUUCAACCCUAAAAAUUUUUUUAAAAAGGGAAAACUUUAUUUAACCCGGGAAACACCCAAAACGGGGGGGAAAAAUCUAAACCCAACCAGGGGGGCCGGAAAGCACCCCCUUUUUAAAACGGGUCAAAGGGUAACCAACCCCCCCCCAAAAAACCAUAAAUUUUCAGGAACCCCCUAAUUU